CUAGGUGUUGUAUUAAUCUCAAAAUUCAACACCAAACAUAUACAAAGGAGGUGGAUAGUCUUAUCUUUACCUCCAAAAUCAUAGCUGCAAAAUAGAACUAUCUAAACUUAAGUUCCAACAAAUAACAUCUAGCAGCUAAUAAUACAAGGAUUUUAUUUACCAAAAAGUAAGCUUCUUGUGCUUGAAUCUUAGUGAGGGCAUUUGUGCUUGAUCCAUUUUAUAAGGGUCUCUCACAGUUUGCGGU
rnacentral:lncRNA from 1 species